AGCAUCUCUAGGCGAUCAUAAAUAAAGAAAAAUAAAAUGGGAGCAGAGCAAAAGAAGAGGCGCUCAGUAGGAAACUUCAACGCUAUAGUUUAUAUGCCUUUCCAGUAUCUCUUGCUUCCAACGUUUACUCUGGCAACUGACCUUGUUCAGGUAGGUCAGACUGGAACAGAUUGAGAUUACAGUCCUAAAACAAAAUCACUGUCAUUCAAGGGCUUAUUUUCCUGGGAGAAGAAAAUAUUAUGAGGGUGACUUAGAUCCCUAAGAAUAAUAUCAGGAAGGCUAAAACCCUGAAUCAACAGGGGAUGGCAGAAAUGGAAAGGAAAUCUAAAGUGUUUAUAUAGCUAUGUUUGGAGCAAGAAGAAAAAAGGAAAAGCUAGGACUGCCUUCUGCUUGGGUGCUGAUGGUAUAAUGUUAAUAGAUGACAGAAAUGAAAAAGCAGAGUGAAAUCCGUAUUUUAUUUCCUUUAUCUUCUUUCGAGCAGAACAAAGCUAGUUAAAAGUGAAUUAUAGUCCAAAAUAGUCCAUGAAAUAAUCUACAAGCCCAAAUGUGCUGUCCCAAAGUGGAAUGGGAGACUUUGAGAAGUGAUGGACAUUCUUCCCUUACUUUCCAGU
rnacentral:lncRNA from 1 species